CGGGUAUUUGGCAUGUGUGAUCUAAUUUAUUCAUCUCGCUUUCAAAGACGAGACCUAUUUUCCUUGUUAGGGGUAGACAGUAUUCGUUGAUAAUAUCUAUAGUAUUCCGUAAGACCAGUUUUAUUAUAUAUAUACACAAAUUACCUGCGCCUGUUGACGUUUCUUUGGGCUGCUCCAUCCUAAAUUGCCAUUUUAUUUCGAAUAGCAACCGUAAAAGUUUCGGAUAGCAACAGCGGACGCGUUUUUUUUUCGAAUAGCAACCGUCAACGUACUACACCGUGGAA
rnacentral:lncRNA from 1 species